CAGUUCGAGGAGCGUUGCAGCUCACAUGGGUGGCCAGGCCAUCGUGCUGAGUGAGGCUCGGACCCCGCUGUUGUUUUUAACGCAGCGUUUCACAACGGCGCUCACCCACG
rnacentral:ncRNA from 2 species